GGGGACGACAGGCUUCGACGUGNNUGGUUGCGAGUCGAGGUCCCGGGAGGCCUCGUAAAACACCCGGAAAAAAAUAAGUGCGGACACGCACAACUUCGACCUCGGUCUCGCGGCUUAGUCGCCAGCCCUGGUCGUCUCGGCCCCCGCUUGCCUGCGGCGGGGAUCGCCGGGAUCAGAUAGCAGGCUCGCUCGGUGAGGAUUUGCUCCCUCCGAUCCGAGGACUUCCAGGGAGCUGGCUCUCGACAACCCCGCCGGCGUGGCGAGUCGAGGGCGAGAUCAGAGCGCCGGCUACGCUCGUAGACGCCAUCUCUCACGCGACUGCGGACGCGGGUUCAAUUCCCGCCGUCUCCACCU
rnacentral:tmRNA from 1 species